ACGAACGCUGGCGGCGUGCUUAACACAUGCAAGUCGAACGGUGAAGCGCCUUCCUUUUUGGUGGGUGUGGAUGAGUGGCGAACGGGUGAGUAACACGUGAGUAACCUGCCCCCUUCUUCUGGAUAACCGCAUGAAAGUGUGGCUAAUACGGGAUAUUCUGGGUCUGUCGCAUGAUGGGUCUGGGAAAGAUAUUGUUUCGGUGGGGGAUGGGCUCGCGGCCUAUCAGCUUGUUGGUGGGGUGAUGGCCUACCAAGGCGGUGACGGGUAGCCGGCCUGAGGGGGUGGACGGUCACACUGGGACUGAGACACGGCCCAGACUCCUACGGGAGGCAGCAGUGGGGAAUAUUGCACAAUGGGCGCAAGCCUGAUGCAGCGACGCCGCGUGAGGGAUGGAGGCCUUCGGGUCGUGAACCUCUUUCGCCAGUGAAGCAGGCCUGCCUCGUUUGUGGGUGGGUUGACGGUAGCUGGAGAAGAAGCGCCGGCUAACUACGUG
rnacentral:rRNA from 1 species